UACGUAGGUGGCGAGCGUUGUCCGGAUUUACUGGGCGUAAAGAGCGCGCAGGCGGUCGUGCAAGUCGCGUGUGAAAGCCCCCCGGCUCAACUGGGGGAGGGGUCACGCGAUACUGCUCGACUCGAAGGCAGGAGAGGGAAGUGGAAUUCCCGGUGUAGUGGUGAAAUGCGUAGAUAUCGGGAGGAACACCAGUGGCGAAGGCGACUUCCUGGCCUGUUCUUGACGCUGAGGCGCGAAAGCUAGGGUAGCAAACGGG
rnacentral:rRNA from 1 species